rnacentral:rRNA from 1 species
UAUUAGUUUGAUUCUGACUAAAAAAUUAGUGAUUAUUAACAUUUCUUAUGCUAAAAAUAAAGUAAAUCUUAACAUUUUAGGUAUGACAUAUAUGAGUUACCCUAUAUAGCAGUGGUUGGAGUUGUAAUAAUAUACUAACGUGUGAAACAAUUUAAAAUCAAAAAUUAGCCUAAGUCGUGCCAGCAGCAGCGGUUAUACGACAAAUUUCUAACAAAUAAAAUCUAAUUGGAUAUAAUAAAAUUAACUAAAGGUCAAAUUUCUAUUUAUUAUGUCCCACAUAUAUCAUAAAUAAACUUUUAAUUAAAACAAGGAUUAGAUACCCUUUUAUUUCUAACUAAUAAUUAAGAUUGGAGAAUACGAGCAAUAGCUUAAAAACCUAAGACUUUGGCGGUGUCUUAUUCAAUCAGGGGGAUCUGUAUUAUAAUUCGACAGUCCACGUAUAAAAUCAACCUAAUCUAGAUAUCAGCCUGUGUACUGCCGUCCAAUAGGCCCUUAAAGCACCCUAUAAUAAUUAUCACAAAUAUACGUCAGGUCAAAGUGCAGCUUAUGGGUAGGAAAAUAUGGGUCACAUUCUAUAUUAUAGCAAAAAUAAAUUAAUUGUUAAUUUUAAUUCAGGACUUGAUAGUAAUCUUAUUUAAAUAAUAAUUUGAAGCUGAACCUAAGACAAGCACACAUCGCCCGUCACUCCUUUAUACCGGAUAAGUCGUAACAUAGUAGGUGUAAUGGAAAUUGCAUCUGUCAAGUU